UUCCACUGUGUUGAAUUUUAGCCGAGGAGAUGGCCCUGAGACUCAGCCGAGCAGUGGCAGGUGGGGAUGAACAGGUGGCUAUGGAGUGUGCCACCUGGCUGGCAGAGCAACGGGUACCCCUGAGGGUGCAGCUGAAGCCUGAGAUCUCCCCAACACAGGACAUCAGGCUGUGGGUGAGUGUGGAGGACGCUCAGUUGCACACUGUCACCAUCUGGCUCACAGUGCGACCUGACAUGACCGUGGCUUCCCUCAAGGACAUGGUGUUCCUGGACUAUGGCUUCCCGCCAGCGCUGCAGCAGUGGGUGAUUGGGCAGCGGUUGGCCCGGGACCAGGAGACGCUGCACUCGCAUGGCGUGCGGCGGGAUGGUGACCGGGCCUACCUCUACCUGCUGUCAGCCUGCAACACCUCCCUCAACCCUCAAGAGCUGCAGCGGCAGCGCCAGUUGCGGGUGCUGGAAGAUCUGGGCUUCAAGGACCUCGCGCUGCAGCCCAGGGGCCCACAGGAGCCGGCACUUCCGAAGCCUGGGGCCCCCCAGGAGCCAGGUCAGGGGCCUGACACCAUUCCUGAGCCCCCACCGGUGGGCUGGCAGUGCCCUGGCUGUACCUUCAUCAAUAAGCCCACACGGCCCGGCUGUGAGAUGUGCUGCCGGGCGAGGCCCGAGACCUACCAGGUCCCCGCCACGUACCAGCCGGACGCAGAGGAGCGAGCGCGCCUGGCCAGCGAGGAGGAGGCGCUGCGCCAGUACCAGCAGCGGAAGCAGCAGCAGCAGGAGGGGAACUACCUGCAGCACAUCCAGCUGGACCAGAGGAGCCUGGUGCUGAACACCGAGCCCGCCGAGUGCCCCGUGUGCUACUCGGUGCUGGCGCCCGGCGAGGCCGUGGUGCUGCGGGAGUGUCUGCACGCCUUCUGCAGGGAGUGUCUGCAGGGCACCAUCCGCAACAGCCAGGAGGCAGAGGUCGCCUGCCCCUUCAUUGACAACACCUACUCGUGCUCGGGCAAGCUGCUGGAGAGGGAGAUCCGGGCGCUGCUGACCCCCGAGGACUACCAGCGGUUUCUGGACCUGGGUGUCUCCAUCGCUGAGAACCGCAGUGCCUUCAGCUACCACUGCAAGACCCCGGACUGCAAGGGGUGGUGCUUCUUUGAGGAUGACGUCAAUGAGUUCACCUGCCCCGUGUGUUUCCGCGUCAACUGCCUGCUCUGCAAGAUCCCCAACGGGAGACUUCUCAUCUCGAGCCCCCCACUCCCUGCAGGCCAUCCACGAGCAGAUGAACUGCAGGGAGUACCAGGACGACCUGGCCCUGCGGGCUCAGAACGACGUAGCCGCCCGGCAGACGACGGAGAUGCUGAGGUCCAUGCUGCAGCAGGGCGAGGCCAUGCACUGCCCGCAGUGCCAGAUCGUGGUGCAGAAGAAGGACGGCUGUGACUGGAUCCGCUGCACUGUCUGCCAAACCGAGAUCUGCUGGGUCACCAAGGGCCCGCGCUGGGGCCCCGGGGGCCCUGGAGACACCAGCGGGGGCUGCCGUUGCCGGGUGAAUGGGAUUCCUUGCCACCCCAGCUGUCAGAACUGUCACUGAGCUGAAGAUGGCCCAGUCCCCACGCCCACCGUUGCUGUGGGACAGGGCAGGUGCUUUGGCUCUGAAUUCUGGCCUGGGAGAUGCCUUUACGCUCGGAGAAGGACCCAGCAGAGCCAAGGCCUCGGAGCUGCAUGGCGGCCUUGUUUGUUGUGGGUGUUGCAAGGGCCCCACCUGAGCUGGCUGUUGUCCUUAGCCGCCUCUGCCCCAGUGCCUUUGCCUUUCCCUGGGGCUUGCUGGCCAGACCUUUCAUCUCUUCUUUGUGGCUCCCACCUCUGCCUGGCGCAGCCUUACACAGCCCUGGCCCUAGGCCUUGCUGGGUAGAGCCUCUGAGAGCCCCGUGUGAGUCCAUACACCCCCCCCCCCCGCCCCAAACCCCCCACCCCGUCUCAACACUGUGCACUCCCAGCCUGCCACUUCCCGUCGGCUUUCUGGGCUGACUUUUCUCUGGCUUUGCUGUUGGAGGCCUGGGGCCUUUUAGAACUGCUGCUAAUCCUGUUCAGAGCCAGGAGGGAGACCUAGCAGUUUCUAAAGCACAGCUCCUCUGGUCCAGCUUCCACGUCUCCCUCUUUGCUGCUGGUGUCAGCUCAUUAAAAUGGUUUUCCAGGAAGGGAUGAGUGUGAUGUCUGAGGGAGUGAGAGGGACAUGGGCUGGGACUCUGAGAAAGCAGGAUCCCAGGCGCUCCAGGAACUGCAGCAGGAAGUGUAUGUGAGCCGCUUGGCAUCCCUGUGCCCAGCUUGAGCGGGUAGGAUGCCCUUGAGUUUGCAGUGUAUUGAGAGGCCACAAAGCAGGUUCUGCAGAUGGGUGUGGGCUUGAGGGGCAGGAAGGGGCCGAGCAGCAGGUACAGGCGGCAGGAAAGGCUUGCUGCUCCCUCUGCCGCUCAGUGGGCAUCCAAGGUCGGGGACAAACAUUUCAGGAUCAGGUAAAACUGCUGCAAUUGAGGGGUGAGGCUGUCCAUCCUAAUUUUAGCAUCUCAGGUAAAAAUGUCACAGCAUUGGUCCAGCCAUAUUUAUCAGUCUUCUUUUUGUGUUGGUCAGGGAUUAAUAAAAAACAUUCUGGGUGUUCA